rnacentral:rRNA from 1 species
AUUGAACGCUGGAGGCAGGCCUAACACAUGCAAGUCGAAAGAGGGGCAGAAGGGUACGUAAUGUCUGAGAAAAUGCACGAUGGAGAGGGAUAACUACUGGAAACAGUAGCUACUACCGCAUACCAUCGGAUGUGCCCAGAUUGGAGUAGCUAGUAGGUGGGGUAACGGCUCACCUAGGCGACGAUCCCUAGCUGGUCUGAGAGGGGUACCAGCCACACUGGAACUGAGACACGGUCCAGACUCCUACGUGAGGCAGCAGUGGGGAAUAUUGCACAAUGGGCGCAAGCCUGAUGCAGCCAUGCCGCGUGUAUGAAGAAGGCCUUCGGGUUGUAAAGUACUUUCAGCGAGGAGGCGUUACUCGCAGAAGAAGCACCGGCUAAAUCCGUGCCAGCCGCCGCGGUAAUAC